rnacentral:rRNA from 1 species
CACGAACGCUGGCGGCGUGCCUAAUACAUGCAAGUCGAGCGGAAGUUGAAGAGCUUGCUCUUCAACUUUAGCGGCGGACGGGUGAGUAACACGUGGGCAACCUGCCCUGCAGAUCGGGAUAACUCCGGGAAACCGGUGCUAAUACCGAAUAGUUUUCGCCACCUCCUGGUGGCGUACGGAAAGACGGUUUCGGCUGUCACUGCAGGAUGGGCCCGCGGGGCAUUAGCUAGUUGGGGGGGUAACGGCCCACCAAGGCGACGAUGCGUAGCCGACCUGAGAGGGUGAUCGGCCACACUGGGACUGAGACACGGCCCAGACUCCUACGGGAGGCAGCAGUAGGGAAUCUUCCGCAAUGGACGAAAGUCUGACGGAGCAACGCCGCGUGAGUGACGAAGGUUUUCGGAUCGUAAAACUCUGUUGUGAGGGAAGAACAAGUACCAACUAACUACUGGUACCUUGACGGUACCUCACCAGAAAGCCACGGCUAACUACGUGCCAGCAGCCGCCGUAAUAC